UCUUACUCUGGACUCUGCCGGCCCCAGCCCGGCACCGGGCGCCCCUCAGUUUCCCGCGGAGCCCACACCCGCCUGCCCGCACACCCCAGGCUACAGUUCGCCCUCGCCCUUCCCCGGACCUAGCGCGCCUGAGACCUGAAGGAGCCCGGGCGCUCUCGCCGGAUAAAUACGCGCGAGCCUGCAGACGCACGCCUGCGCGGCCUCGAUGAAAUCCCGGACUUCUCCCGGCUCGGCCACCCGGUUUAGAAACUCCUCUCCGCCCCGCUCAGACGGGACGCGGAGCUGGAUCUGCUGCCCGCGGCCCCGAGCUGCGGCCUGCAGCCCUGCUGUUCUCCCCUCCAUGUCUCCAGGCCAACCCCAAUCCCGCGUCCCAGCUCAGAACCGUCUGUCUCGCCUGAAGCCGUGCGUCUCGGGGCCUGGCCUGCCUGCCUCCAUCACGAGCUCGGAGUGGUCUUCACAUCUGCCCUGUGUGUCCCUCUCAAUUCCUGUCUCCCAAUCCUAGUACCUGGGCGAAGGACUCAGCAUGGCCGGCGUCCUGCUCGUCGUCCAGGUGCCCUUCCGUCUGCCGCAGCACCCUGUCGUCCUUCCCCUCCUGUGAUGUUGGCCCCACACGCUGUCCUUUACUCCUGGGCUCUCUGCUUUCCCUCCCACAGUGAGACCCUUGUGAUGGUGGCUUCAUUGCCCAGUGCGGUACCUGGUGCCAGCUAGGAACACGUACAUUUGUAUUAAAUGAAUAAAAGCUCUGAAUGUGACACGGUCUCCAGAGGAGAGGCUCUGGGGCAGCUGUGAUGUGCUGCCAGAUGUGAUGGCCCAGACCACUGCUUUUCAGCAACAGCGUCACUGUUUUCAAG
ensembl:lncRNA